AGAGAAGGAGCUGCCAGGCUCUUUGAACAAUCAGACCUCAGGGUAACUAAUAGAGCGAGAGCUGAUUCAUUACCUCCAGGAAGGCACCAAGUCUUUAUGAGGGAUCCACCCCCUUGCCCCAAUACCUCCCACCACACCUCACCUCCAUCAUAGGGGAUCAAAUUUCAACAUGAGACUUGGAGGAGACAAAUAUCCAAACUGUAUCAGUUGGGGUCGUAUCAGUUUCCCAUUCUGCUGGUAUCUACAACUCAUUACCUCCAGGCAAGCUCUCUUCGCUAAAAAUAAUGAAAAGGAUUGCAUAUUACUUGACAAAGUGAAAAGAGAGGAUAAUCCAAGUGGGCAGAUUGGUAAGCUGCGGGAUGAAAAACUGCCACCAACUAAUGGCCUGAAUUUGUACUGACUGUUUGGUCUAGGUAUUGCGAUGAUCCUAUCCAGCUGAUUCAAAAAGAUGCAUGUGGGAUGUGCGUGUUUCUCUAUCCCAAAAGAUUGACAGCAACAAGGCUCAGUCAUCUCUGUGGCCCCUCAUUGCCAAGGUCAUGGUUGGCUCAAGGAGAACCCCAGGAUUGAAAGCCCUCGACUCCACCUCAUCCAACUAGAUGGAUGCAAGCUCCACAUCUUCCUUCCUCUGUUGUCUUGCUCUUUAAAGCCAGGAAUACCCCUUAUCAGCUAGUUAGCUCUAUCCUUCCAGAGUUCUAUUUACUGUAUCCAGUGUUUUAGGGUGAGAAUACUUCUGUCCUGUCUCAUUUUCUAGUAGUAGAUGUGUGUAUCUUUUUUCCCAAUAAAUUAUUGCCUUCAUAGCAGGAAGUGUCCAUACAAAACAUCCGAGUUACUUUAUACAUAAGAUCUCUGGAUGUGAAUAAAAAUAAAAAGUUCCUGUCAGUAAAAAAAAAUCCAAUCUAGUUUAUUACUAAUUCUUCCAUUUUUAAAGAUUUACAUAUUAUGAGUUCUUACAUAUGCCCCAUCAUGGUUUUUUUAGUAUAAUAUUUAUCCUCCUUCAGUACUUCUUGUGCCUGAAAUCCUUCCCCUACACAGCCUCGCUUUAUUACUCUUACCACUAGUGCUGCUGCUACUACUAUUAUUACUGCUACACUGUAAUUAUUACAUCCUUCACCACCAGCAAGGUCACCACUACUAUUACUGCUGGAACUUGUCCUUCUAGUCUCAGCUUUAUCUUAUGUUCCAGACAAGCUAAGUCCUCCAAAUCAGAUCUUUCCUUCCAGUGCUCCAGCAUUGUAGGAAUUGCUGAUAUGCUGUGGUAUUGGUCUCCUUCUCCUUCUAUUGAUCUCAUCGACUAAUCAUAUGCCAUUAUAUCUAUCACAUCAAAUAUAUUGUAUCUGGACAAGAAAAAUGUUGUGGACCCUGCUCUAACUAUUCACAGAGCUUUCCUUUUUCCCUUUCUUGCGUGUGUCAAAAUUAUUGCUAUGGUUGUUUAACACUAGGCAGGGAGAAACAACAAGGGGAAACACUUAGGCAGUGUUUAAGUCACUUAUGCAGUGACUAAGUUCCCCUUACAUAGGGCAGUACCACAGUGCUUAGCAAAGUGUGUGGCAUCCAGUGGGCGAUUAAUAUUUAUUUGUUGAAUUAGUAAAUAAAGUGGCCAUCUCCACAUUUCACAGCCACUGUAAAGACAAAGAGAAUCAUUUGGAGCCCAUCCACCUUUUCAGGACAGUUUAAACUACAGAACCAAAUAAGUAAGCCCCAUGCUGAUUAUCUGAGGGUAGGGGAUUUCAGAAAACAGCAGGGUUGCUGAAGAAAGAGAAGAAGGUAAUUAUAACUAAGUAGAGACUAAACAGGUAUCAGAAAGCAUUAAAAUGAACCCACUGAUUAAGAACACUGAGUGUCUUGCUUAGCUUGUCAUAAUAGGUGGGGGAGUCGAACUGCUGAUGUAUGGGAAAGGAAGAGGGGAGUUUUGUUUUUCUUUUUGAGAGAGUCUCACUCGGUUGCCCAGACUGGUGUGCAGUGGCACGAUCUCGGCUCACUGCAACCUCUGCCUCCUAGGUUUAAGCGAUUCUCCUGCCUCAGCCUCCCAAGUAGCUGGGGAUUUUUUUUUUUAACAAAGGAAACCAGAAGGGACACAAG
rnacentral:lncRNA from 10 species